CGCUGGCGGCGUGCCUAAUACAUGCAAGUCGAACGCACUCUCGUUUAGAUUGAAGGAGCUUGCUCCUGAUUGAUAAACAUUUGAGUGAGUGGCGGACGGGUGAGUAACACGUGGGUAACCUGCCCUAAAGUGGGGGAUAACAUUUGGAAACAGAUGCUAAUACCGCAUAAAACCUAACACCGCAUGGUGUAGGGUUGAAAGAUGGUUUCGGCUAUCACUUUAGGAUGGACCCGCGGUGCAUUAGUUAGUUGGUGAGGUAAAGGCUCACCAAGACCGUGAUGCAUAGCCGACCUGAGAGGGUAAUCGGCCACACUGGGACUGAGACACGGCCCAGGCUCCUACGGGAGGCAGCAGUAGGGAAUCUUCCACAAUGGACGAAAGUCUGAUGGAGCAACGCCGCGUGAGUGAAGAAGGUUUUCGGAUCGUAAAACUCUGUUGUUGGAGAAGAAUGUAUCUGAUAGUAACUGAUCAGGUAGUGACGGUAUCCAACCAGAAAGCCACGGCUAACUACGUG
rnacentral:rRNA from 1 species